CAGAGAGAGAGACAGACAGACAGAGACAGAGAGAGACAGACAGACAGAGAGAGACAGAGUGAGAGUGCGGACCAAGGCGUAAACCUAUCUGUUUUUAAACCAUAACGUAGUACGGUAGAUGUAGCCUCGGUCUGGUUGAUCGGAACUUAAAAUGUCUUUAAUUUAAGUUUUCUAAAUGGACAUCUUCUACAAUUGGAGGACAACAGAUGACUCAGACGGCUCAGUAACGCCUACUGAAAUUAGUUUUCUUUUGGGGAGCAAACAAAUAAAUAUUGAGCCGAUGUUGUCAGGGACGGUCUGGCUCCUUUGCAUGACUGUGGGUCAUUUCCCUAAACAACAACCACGGCGUGUUGAUUUACAUAUUUAAAUACCAGCGUAUGUUUCCCAACGGUAUGAACAAUAAUCUUUGAAUUAGUUUGAGUUUGGCUCGGCCAUUGUGCUAGCUUAAUACCACGCUAAUCCAAAACUAAAAGACAAACAUUGUCUCUCUGCAAGUUCCAUUUCUACGUGAGAACUGAGAAAACAACAGCAUGUUUUUGGAAAGUGUUCGCAGUGACAUGAAGUAUUUGUAAGUUGUAGUAAAACAUGUAAAAACAGAAAUACACUCCUUUCAAAUCACUUCCCCACAUAAUGCUAAUACGUGUUAUGUUCAGCUGCUUUUAAAGGAGUGAUUUCCCUUCAUCUAAGCUUAACUUUUUAAAGGUUUUUGAAACUGUGAGCGAGCGCUGCUGCUGUGCUGCAGGUGGCGCUGUGGGGCAGGUACAGCGGUUUAGCACCAAGCCGUAGCUUCAGUAGUCUUAACACGACUCCUCCGUUCAGUCUCCGCUAAUUCAUAAACACCGCAGGAUAUUUUUUGCACACGCUAAUUAUCUGCAAUCUAUCUGAAACAAGUUCACACAUUCGCCCCUCUGUGGCCUAUUUAGAUUUUGGCUGAUAAUAGUUUUGUUAAAAAAAAAUUAAAAGUUACUACAGAUAUUUUGGCCUGGUGUGACACUACAAAUAUUGAGUGAGAAUGUGCGUGUGUGUGUUUCCAUGUGUGGCUGGCCUUCUGCUUUAGAGCGGCAAAGUUUUAUCGAUUAGUUGUCAACUGUUUAUUUAAAUCGCAACUAUUUUGAUUAAUCG